rnacentral:rRNA from 1 species
UAGGGUUUGAUUAUGGCUCAGAACGAACGCUGGCGGCAGGCCUAACACAUGCAAGUCGAGCGCAGUCCUUCGGAACCGAGCGGCGGACGGGUUAGUAACGCGUGGGAAUAUGCCCUUCACUACGGAAUAGCCUCGGGAAACUGAGAGUAAUACCGUAUACGCCCUUCGGGGGAAAGAUUUAUCGGUGAAGGAUUAGCCCGCGUAAGAUUAGAUAGUUGGUGGGGUAAUGGCCUACCAAGUCUACGAUCUUUAGCUGGUUUUAGAGGAUGAUCAGCAACACUGGGACUGAGACACGGCCCAGACUCCUACGGGAGGCAGCAGUGGGGAAUCUUGGACAAUGGGCGCAAGCCUGAUCCAGCCAUGCCGCGUGUGUGAUGAAGGCCUUAGGGUCGUAAAGCACUUUCGCCAGAGAUGAUAAUGACAGUAUCUGGUAAAGAAACCCCGGCUAACUCCGUGCCAGCCGCCGCGGUAAUACA